GCCCUUCCCGCGUGUCCCUCCAUCCCCGGGUCCCCGGCACCCAGGGCGAGGCGCCCCCGCGGGGAUCCCGAAGGCUUCGUGGGGAGGAUACGAGCAGGUCGCACAUCCGCUCCAAAGCCAGGGAGGGGACCCUGGUGACUUUGCCUCCUGGCCCCCACUCCCUUCACCCUUUUUUCUCUUUCCUGGUGGACCUUGGACCGUGGAGAUUGUGCGGAUGCCUCUGGGAGCCGAAGCCGAUGGGUGGAUGGAAGCGGUUCUAAAAAGCAGAUAAUGAAUGCCUAACUCUCAACUAUCUUGCCACUGCGGGCUUCUUUAAUCACAUGGAAAUCCAGCAUGAAAGUGCGUUAGGGGCGAUGAGACCAUCAUCGCUACUGGAAAAACACGCAAGAGAGCUGUGAUAACGUGAGGGUGUCUUGUCAACCUUGUCUCCUGCAUCAGCUGAACUCAAAGACACUAGCAUCUUGGAUCCUGACAGACGGGUGUGUUGUUCCUGAACUACCACGGAGGUGGCACUGGGCUGAAGACUGCUCCUGUGCAGCCAGACCUGAGCUGUGUGAAGGCAGCAGAAAUGCCUUGAGUUGGACCCCACAAUGGUGUCAGUUAUGCCAGUGGCUCUCAAACUUCACCUUGUGUUGGAGUUGCAUGAGGGCUUUUUAAAACACAGAGUUCUGGCUCCCAACCCCGGAGUUGCUGAUUCAGUAGGUCUGGGUGAGGCCCAAGGAUUUGCAUUUCUAGCAAGUCCCCAGGUGAUAUGGAUGCUACUGUUCAGAGAACACACUUUGAGAACCACAGGUCUCCAGAAUCCCAUGGCAAACUCAUGAAACUUUAUUUCUUCUUUCCUCUCUAUUUCUUCUUUCUGUAAAGGAACUUUGGGUUUGAGAGAAGAGUUAAUGGAAGUCAAAAGGUAGAAACAACUCAGUUGUCCAACAACUGACAAAUGAAUAAAUAAAUUAUGGUAUAUCCAUACAUUGG